CAAAUUCUUUCAUUGCUCUUCGGAGCAAAUGAAGAAACAUAAUGUGCACCUGUAUUUGUACGUUGGCGGCUGUUCAGUGCUUUGUGCUGAACUUGCAUUAGAUUGCAAAGGCCGUCAAUAGUGUUUUUCACAGAAACGCUUUAAGAAUUUCCAAAACUAUUUUCUUUGUGUUUAUAACUUUUUCUCUUGAAAACCAAGAA
rnacentral:misc_RNA from 1 species